rnacentral:lncRNA from 1 species
UCUUCUCCCUUUCUUGUCCAACAUUUGGACUAGAUCUAGAAAAGAUAGAUGAGAACCUUUUGUCCAUCUCAUGGAUCAAGAGAAAGAGAAUAAAAAUCAGAUCAAAUCUGAUUUUUAAUAAUAUCCAACUCUUGAACAUAUUUGUAAGAGAGGAAGAGGGAGAUCUGUCCAUUUCAUGGACCAAAUCAGAUCAAAUCUGAUAUAAUCAUGUCUAACUCUUGGAUAUAUUUGGG